UGGGGAAUCUUGGACAAUGGGCGCAAGCCUGAUCCAGCCGUGCCGCGUGGAUGAUGAAGGCCUUAGGGUUGUAAAAUCCUUUCGCCGAGGACGAUAAUGACGGUACUCGGAGAAGAAGCUCCGGCUAACUUCGUGCCAGCAGCCGCGGUAAUACGAAGGGGGCUAGCGUUGUUCGGAUUUACUGGGCGUAAAGCGCAUGUAGGCGGGCCGUUAAGUUAGGGGUGAAAUCCCGAGGCUCAACCUCGGAACUGCCUCUAAAACUGGCGGCCUGGACCUAAGUAGAAGCAAGUGGAAUUGCGAGUGUAGAGGUGAAAUUCGUAGAUAUUCGCAGGAACACCAGUGGCGAAGGCGACUUGCUGGACUUAUGGUGACGCUGAGAUGCGAAAGCGUGGGGAGCAAACAGGAUUAGAUACCCACGUAGUCCCUGAGCGGGCUGGCAAGGCGCAU
rnacentral:rRNA from 1 species